rnacentral:misc_RNA from 1 species
GAUGAAGAACGUAGCGAAAUGCGAUAAGUAAUGUGAAUUGCAGAAUUCAGUGAAUCAUCGAAUCUUUGAACGCACAUUGCGCCCCCUGGUAUUCCGGGGGGCAUGCCUGUCCGAGCGUCAUUGCUGCCCUCAAGCCCGGCUUGUGUGUUGGGCCCCGUCCUCCGAUUCCGGGGGACGGGCCCGAAAGGCAGCGGCGGCACCGCGUCCGGUCCUCGAGCGUAUGGGGCUUUGUCACCCGCUCUGUAGGCCCGGCCGGCGCUUGCCGAUCAACCCAAAUUUUUAUCCAGGUUGACCUCGGAUCAGGUAGGGAUACCCGCUGAACUUAAGCAUAUCAAUAAGCGGAGGA